UACGAAGGGAGCUAGCGUUGUUCGGAACCACUGGGCGUAAAGCGCACGUAGGCGGAUGUGUCAGUCAGGGGUGAAAUCCCGGAGCUCAACUUCGGAACUGCCUUUGAUACAGCACGUCUUGAGUCCGAUAGAGGUGGGUGGAAUUCCUAGUGUAGAGGUGAAAUUCGUAGAUAUUAGGAAGAACACCGGUGGCGAAGGCGGCCCACUGGAUCGGUACUGACGCUGAGGUGCGAAAGCGUGGGGAGCAAACAGG
rnacentral:rRNA from 1 species